CCGAAGAUAUCUUUGAUGGAGUGGCAUCCUUUCACAGUUACAUCUUGUUCUAAAGGCGGGGACAACACAUUCACGCUACACUUGACUACGAGCGGAGACUGGACAGGU